GACGAACGCUGGCGGCGUGCUUAACACAUGCAAGUCGAACGGAAAGGCCCUGCUUUUGUGGGGUGCUCGAGUGGCGAACGGGUGAGUAACACGUGAGUAACCUGCCCUUGACUUUAGGAUAACUUCAGGAAACUGGGGCUAAUACCGGAUAGGAGCUCCUGCUGCAUGGUGGGGGUUGGAAAGUUUCGGCGGUUGGGGAUGGACUCGCGGCUUAUCAGCUUGUUGGUGGGGUAGUGGCUUACCAAGGCUUUGACGGGUAGCCGGCCUGAGAGGGUGACCGGCCACAUUGGGACUGAGAUACGGCCCAGACUCCUACGGGAGGCAGCAGUGGGGAAUAUUGCACAAUGGGCGGAGGCCUGAUGCAGCAACGCCGCGUGCGGGAUGACGGCCUUCGGGUUGUAAACCGCUUUCGCCUGUGACGAAGCGUGAGUGACGGUAAUGGGUAAAGAAGCACCGGCUAACUACGUG
rnacentral:rRNA from 1 species